AUAAUUUGGUAAAAGUACAUUUAUUCUUCAGAAGCACGUCCAGAUAUGGAUGAUACUAAAUGCAUGGUCCAUGAAGCCCAUUCUGGAACUAGACUGGAGGUGGGUAGAGUUGGAUAACCUUCUUCCACGAUGGUCUACUGCUUAUGUCAUCCCACCAACCACUCACAUGCUUCCUCUCUUUUAUCAGAUACCCUUUAUUCAUUUGGUUCACUAUAAAAUAUGUAAAUGGAAGAUGACUUAUAUCAGCAAGACUGAAGAAAUCCCCACCCAAAUACUUGCUCUUUGACAGCCUCUCCUCAUAAACAUCCAACACCUUCAACAGCUUUGCUUCACUCUCUUCAAUCACCUUUGGAUCUGGAGUCAUGCCAAAUAAUGGAGCAAACAACAGAUGCACAGCCAAGUCAUAAGCUGGUGGGUGAAAGUUAUGUGCUUCAACUUCUAGCCAUUGUUCCACAACACCCCUCUCUUCCGGUGUCCUCCCCAACAGCUCAACCCCCUGAGAUCUGUAUUUGUCUGCAUAAUACCUCAUUAUAGCACGAGAUUCUGCAGAAACAGAUCAAACACAGACAAGUUACAAGGUGGUAUAGCAGUAAGAUAAGAAAAAAUAACUGAAGAAACAAAAUAUGAACAAAAAAGCAAAAGUAUAUAGGAGUUGAAAGUGUAACCAUAUAAGGUGUAGUCUCCAUCUUGGAUGACAGGAACAACUCCAAAGGGCUGCAGAUAUGAUGAAUAAAGAAAAUGAAUGAGAAGAUAAAGAAAGACGUAAUCUUGAAGAGUGAUGAGGGUGGGCAAAAAAAGAAAAUUGAACCUGUAACUUGAGAAACUCGGGAUCCUUGUGCUCUCCCUUAGUGAGAUCGACUGGGACAACCUCAAAUUCGACGUCCUUCUCAAGGAGACAUACUAGCACCCGUUUAGUGGAAGCACAGUGAGGACCGUACACCUUCACUACCAUGUUUUGAUUCUCUUCAGAAACCCUUCAACAAGACUGAAGCAGUGAUAGAGCCAAACACAAUUUCUACUUCCUGGUAACACUUCUUAUAGUGCCCCUACGCGUGAAAUCAAGCGCAUGUUUUCACACUGUAGUUGUAAAUGGAUUUGGAAUGGGUAGGAUAGAAUCAAACUCUUUUACUUAAUAUAAUAAAAGAUUUGUGUGGAAUUAGAUAGAAGUUUCGAGUGGUUGGUCCUUUGGGAAAAGAGGAAAAAGAAGAUGUGAAUAUAAAUAUUACAACUACCAAACAUGAUGGGCAAUGAUUUAGAAAGUAAAGAUGAGGGGGUGGAUAUUAUUGUGGUCGACAAAUAAUCAAUGUGCUACCUUUAAUUGUACAGAAUUCGGAUUACUGUGUAUAAAAGUAUAACAUUUAUAUUGAUGUCUAUUAAAGUUAAAUUUAUAGUAUUAUUUUUUUAUUGAAAGUUAAGAAAGAGAUAAAUAUUUUAGAACGUGUUUCCCACCAAAAAAAUAAAUAAAUAUGAAGUAGAAAUUAAAGAUGUUUAAUUAAAAGUUGAGGUAUUAUUUAUAAAUAAACAAUGAAAUAAAAAAUUAAAUAGUUUAAUAAUUAUUGACAUAUUUUAUUUUUAUUGCAAUACAAACAUUUUAAUUAUGUUAAUUUCAUUUGAGUUCUAUUAAUAUUUAACACAAUUAAACAAGUAUUUCGUCUUUAAUAAGUUGUCACGUGUGUUUGUGUUUAUUGGAGAAGAAAAAUAAUAACUUUAACCUGUAAUUAACUUUAACCUAUAUUUUCUAUUUUAUACAUUAAAAAUUCUUUGUGAUUCUUUUAAAAUUUUUGAAUAAACAUACGUGAUAGUUACAAAUACAAAAGUAUUUAAUUGUAUUAAAUAAUAGAAUCCAACAAAAUGUAAGUUUUUUUUAUUAAAAUAAAAAACUUAUUGUAUUGAAAUAACUAUUUAUCCAAAUAAAAAUAAUAUUGUCUUUUGAAAUAAGUGACUCCCAACCAAAAAAUCCAACUUGUUUUAUUUAUUAAGAAUUAUUGUUUUCUCAUGAUUCAAGUAAAGCAUUAGUUAAAAUUUAGAAAAUAUUUCUUAAAAUGGUCUAGCAAUAAAAUUGAAUAAAAAAAAAGUGUCAUUUUCGCUUCUUAAGAACAUAAGAUGGCAAAUAAUUGGAAGUUCUAACAAUUAUAUCCCAUAUUUCAUAAUUCAAGUAAAGCCUUAGUAAAAAUUUGGAAAAUAUUAAAAAUGUCUAAGAUUGAAAAUAAAAUAAAUAAAUAAAAAAGUGCUCUUUUCGCUUCCUUGGAAAGUUGUAAGAAUUAUAUCCUCAUAUUUUUUCCUUUUUUCUUCUAAGGACCAACUCAUCAACACCUACUUAUUAUUAUUAUUGUUAUCUAGUCAAAAUAACCAUCAAUUAUGAUAAAAGUACUCAUAACACUAAGACCUACUAAACCUCGCGACUGGUCGAAUUGAUAUUUUCAAUUAAUUAACCUAUUUUUAAAUUAAAUAUUUAAAUAAAAAUAUUUUAAUAGAUUAAUUUUCUAUAUUAUAUUAUUCGAAAGAUGUAGAUAUGAAAUAGUAUUGUAACUUAAAUCAAUAAUAAUUGCAAAUUAAGUUUCAGUUAAUUAUAAAAAUAAUUUAAUACAUAAAUGCAAUGGUUAAACUAUAAGAAAAGUUGUUUUUGGAAACUAAAUUUUUGAGUUUCUAAAAUGAUAAAAUUAGUCAAUAACUUAAUUAGAAACUAAUUUAAAAUCUAAUUGUAGUAAGUGGCUAAAAUCAUCUUCGUUAAUUUUAUAUACCAAUUUAGAUUCUAAUUUAGAAACCAAUUUAGUUAUCAAUAAAAACCAACUUAGUGACCAAAUAUAUAGAAACUAAUUUAGUAAUCAAUUAUAUAGAAAUCAAAUUAACAACCAAUUUUAUUGAAACCAAUUUAGUGACCAAAAUAUAUAGAAACUCAUUUAGUGACCAAAUAUAUAAAUAUAAAAAAAUGGUCACUAUAAUGGUCUCCAAAUAAUAUAAUUUUUUGUAAAAAAAAAAAAUUUAUCAAAUGGAAAAAUCAAUUCAUUUGAAAUAUUUUAAGAUAUUCUCUUGUGUCUAAAACUAGUUUCAAUAUAAGUAUGCACAUGAAGGAAAUUAAAUCAUUAGAAGGAACAAUCCAAUUUAGCUUAAUCUUUCUUUGUCGAGCCUUAUUUAAAUUAUUUUUCAUUAUUAUAGCAUCUCGCAUUUCAAAAUUAUUUCUUGCCCACUUAUGAUCUGGUGCACAAAUCGAAAACUUCUUCUGCAUUAAUAAAAAAACAAAGUUAAUUAUAUGUAAAACUAACAUACAUAAUAAAAUUGAACUAAAUAAUUAAAUAAAGUUAGUUAUAUGAAAUCAACCAAAAACUCUCCGAACUACAAGUCUCUUGUUCUAAACACCAAAUAAGAUGCAUCUUUUAAAAAAGCAAACAAAAACCAAAUAGUUUUUUAUGACUAGUCGCUCGGAAGAGAAAAAUUAAUCAAGAAAUAUUGACCUUAUAAUUAUGGAUUGAUUCACUUCAUCUGCAAACAAAGCAAUAGACAGAUUAAAAAGUUAUAGUACAAAACGAAUGGAAACAGCUUAACCUUUUAAAACUUAAUUUCUAUAAAAAAUAAGGAAAAAGUUGUCUCGUAUCAUUUCUCGAAUGGCUGUCAGUAAUUGCAUAUAAAUGAGGGCUUUCACUUGCCUUACACUUGUAGGCUUCAAUAUAGUCAUUUUAUCAUACUAGAGAGUUUACUAUCAUUCGUGGGACUCCAUUAAACUUGACUUUCGACUCGUAAACUCGUAAGAGUCUACUUCAUAAAAAAAAUUUAACAAAAAAAUAAUUCAUGAAAACAAAUCCAUAAUAUUGAAAUAAACAAGUUCAUACACUAAUAAAAUAACUAAAACAACACAAAUGUUAUAAUUUAAAAGUCUCAUUCUUCUAAUUCUUCAAGAAAAUCAUCUAACUCUAAAACAAACAAUCAAUUAGUCAUUCUGCUUUAAAAUUAAACAAAAAUCCAAUAUGUCCAAAGCAGUAAAAGAACUUCAGGAUGUCCAAAAAUCUGCCCCAACCCAAUGAACAAAAACGCCCCAACCCAUUUUUAAAAGUUCAAACCUAAUUUUGAAAACCCUAACCCAAUCCGUCCUCACCGCAGCAGCAGGACUUACCCAUCAAAGUGUUUCGCGAACGGCGUAGUGUGACGAGGAUCAUUGUGAAACGAGGUGUGACAACCAGCGGCGCGAUGCGACGAGCGGUGCGGUACGAGGAGCAGUGUGGGGUUGUGCGAGGCGAGGAGCGACGCGGUACGAGGCAAGGAGCGGCGCGGUACGAGGCGAGGAGCGGUGCGGUGUGAUGAGCGGUAAAACCCUAAAAAAUCUAACCUAAUCACAAGGAAACACAUCGUUUUGAGUCCAUUUUACGCAACUCGAUAACUCGACCUUAAACUCACGAGUUUAGCCGAGUUUGACCGAGUCAACUUCGGAUUCGGGUUUACUCAAAAACGAGUUUACUCCCGAGUUGACUCGCCAACCUUCACCUGACUCUUAAACUCAAACUCGUAAGGGUUUACGAGUUAACCUUAGAGUUUGAUAAUUUGAUUAUUACCAUACAAAGUAACUUUCUUAAAAGGGAUUUAUGGCAACCAAAACAGGCCCAGCUUUCAUCUGAAUUAAAUAGUUAUGCACUUAAAGAGGUUAUGAUUAGGAAAAUAAAUCAAGAUAGAAAAUUAAGAGAUAUAAGCUUACAUAGAUCAUAUCUUGGUUGUAUCUAUAUUGCAGGUUGAAUAAAACUGCUGAUUCAUUUAAAUAACUAAAUAGAAGGUACCAUGAUAAACUGAUUUCAAAACACAGCAGCAGAGAAAAAUUGAAAUCCAAGGCCAAAAUUAUCUUUUUUGAACCAUAAGAAUUUGUAUCAUUCCACCUGUUUUCCCUAGAGGAUGUCAAAAUUGAUGGCAGGGGCAACGUAACGGAUACCAAGUCUUCAUCUGCAUUAGAUGGUCGGUCUUUUAAUGAUCAACCAAUUUAUUUUAAAUUCUAAGUGUACUUUCUUUUUGGUUUGAGGUUUAAACUAAAAAAAUAAAAACUUUGAAAUGUACUGAUGAAAAAUGCCACAAUAUUUACAAUACAAUAAUAUGAAACUAAUCUAAUCAUUUUAAUAUUAUCACUAAUUUAUAAAAGUAAAAAUUUAUGUUGGACUCCCACAACUUUUGUAACAUGGAUCAAGCAUCAUGAACCAGGUGCACACGAAAUAACUCAGUUCUAGAAGGAUUAUAAAGCCCUUAACCAAGAGAGGCUAGAAAGAUUAAAAAGAUACACCUCAUUGAGGAAAGAAGUGUUCACAACAAAGAGGAAAAAAAAGCAAUUUGUCAAAUACUUUAACAACCCAAGAUUAAUUUUCAGAGUAAACAAAAUUUUGGUUUAACUACAAUAUUAGUGUCAUUAACAAAGUGCACAAGAAAUUACAUACCUCACUGAGUACUAACACUACAAAGAGAAGAAAGCACAGUAAAUAAAAUUAUAAAGUUAGCCCUUCCACUCUACAGGUUCCAUGCAUUUGGUUUUGCAGAGGCAAGCAGAGGUAUUGAUCCCAAUCCCACAUAUUUGGAUUCUAGUUUCUACUAAUUAAAGCAUGCCUUGUCUGACAAAAAGUCUUUCCAAAGUUCCAAAAGCAUUUGUCUCAAUAAAGGGAAAACAACUAAACUAGUUGUAGGUGCGUACUAAACCUUUUGAUGCUCCAAAUACCAUUAUAUUAUACUACACAAAUCACAAUAUCUCCAAGUUCUAAAUAAAUAAAUAAAAACCACAUUAACAAUACCAUUGAAAUGUAAUCAGAUACACAAAAAUCUACACAAUUAGGUAGUUAGCACGAUGUCAAAGUUUCAAUAAACUUUGAAUUUUUGUUUGAGCUUGCAAGCCUAAGGCCUAACUAAACCAACAACACUGACCAUAUACCGUGCAUAAAGAUAUUCACAAGUUAAUGAAACUUGAUCAAACUAGACAAAUAAAACGAAGACCUCAAAUUAAUAUCCCCAUAUUAAUUAUGCAGUUGCUUAUUAUUUUACUAGAAUUACCUUCAAAACUAACAGCCACACAACUUACAACAGAGUACCUUUUAUGUGUAAUAAUCUAGGAUUUUAAGAUGGGAAGAUACAUUGAGUAAAGUUGUGAAGUUUCGAUGAGCAAACACAAAAAUAAAAGACAAAGAGCGAGAAUGAAACACGAAUUGAAACUUACUAUGAUAAGCUUAAAGAGGUUAGUCUCAUUCGAAACAGAGAAACGUCAUUGUUGCGGGUGCGUUACCGUCUCAAGGUGCGUUGUCGUUGUAGGGUGUGGUUUCCGGUUGUUGAGUGCUAAGAGUGAGAGAUGAGAAAAAAAGUUAAAGAAAACAGAUAAACUUUGAAAUUCAAAACCUUACAUACCAAUUGGUUAAAUUUAAAAAAAUUAAAUAAUUUUUUGAAAAAUAUGCAUCUUUAUUUAAAUUUAUUUAUUAAAAUUUUAAUUUAAAUAAUAUUUUGAAUUAAUCAUUAAUUUAAUUUUAUAUUUAAAUAAAAUUAAAAGAUUAAAAUACUAUUUUAAAUGUAAUUUUUAAAUUUAUAUUAAUUAUUUUAAUAUUAUACUAAAAUUAUUAAAUUAUUAAAUUUAUUCAUAUCAAUUUAAAAUAUUUUAUAAAUUAAUAAUUAAUUUUAUAAAAUUUAAUUACUUCAAAAUUAAUAUUUAAAUUCAAAUAAUAGUGACUAGAAAUUUAAGUAUCUCAUUAUAAUUAUAUAAUGAUUAGAAACUACAAAAUUAGUUUUAAAUUUUAUUAUUUUUAGUGACUAAAAUUAGUUUUUAAAAUAGAUUAAAAUUAAUUAAAAUAGUUUCCAAUUAUAUCUUAACAAGAUUCUCUCUCUCUCUAUCUCUCUAUCUCUAUCUCUCUCUCUCUAAUAAAUUGAAACAUAGAUGAAUAGAAUCUUACACGGACUACUUCUUAUGCGGGACAGGAUGGUCAAAUGAACUUGCAUUUCUUAUAUAGGUUGGACCAACCUGACCUGCGUUUUGCGAGUCAAACAUGGGAGGGACCAACCGACAUUGCCACCUAAUUUGACAUGAAAUAUUUGUUUUGCCCUUAAUGAUUUAAAAGACUUUGUCUUCUGGAUUUUCAUAUACGUAAGUUAAAUUACAAAGUUCUGGAUAUGCAAGUUCGAAACUAAUAUGUCACUUUCGGAUUUAGUCAUCCAGAAGCUUACCUGACCAACAUAAAUGACCUUCUGGAUGCCAUGAUCCAUAAGCAAACAUAAAUGAACUCGAGAUUCUAAUAUUUAACAUCAUUUAUAGCACACCAUUUCGAACAUAAAAAUCUGAAACUCAUAACUCACUUCCGGAUAUGAUCAUCCAAAAACUUAAAUGAAAUAUAAAAAUGAUCUUCUGAAUAUCGAAGUCCGGAGUAUAUAACAACCACAUUCAAAUUUUUGCAUCUAUAACUAAAUAUGAAGCCUUCCGAAUAUCACGAUUCGGUAACAACUUAACCCCAUUAUCAACUAAAACACAAAACGUAAAUAAUUUUCCUUACCUCAUAAAAGAUUUACACCACACCACGCUUAAAAGUAAUGACUUCAUUCCACCACCACACCAACCCAAUUCACCACCACUCAAAACGGUUCAGCAUUUAAAUCACAAAGCUUCACUUUUUUCUGUGAUGAACUAUGAUGGGAGCAACAGCAUUAAAACUGCAGAAGCAAUGCAUAGCUAUUUAAAGUCUGAAACCCCUACUUUCCAAUUUAUUUCAGUUCUUACUCUUUUAAAAUUUCUCUAAUCAAAUUUCAAAUAGUGCUUUUACCAUGCUCUUUGAAAUAUACAAAUAGUUUAUACAAUUAUACUAUUCAUUCCACUGGCUGCCUCAGAAAAGAAAUUGCACUGCUACAUAAAUAAUUACUUUAUGCCACUCAUUCCUAAAGCUAACUAUGACAGACAAAAUAUGCAAAAAGGAGUUACUUUCAUCUAUCAAAGUUGUGUGCUAUUAUUUUAUUUGACUAUUGAAAAUCUCACCUGUGAUGGUCUCUUUCUCACCCUCUAAUCUAUCAAAAAUCCAUUUAAUGGAGCCUAAUUUAGAAGAUUAAGUGCUUAUGUAGCCUAUUAAAUGCCUCUUAAGCAUCCACACGGCAAAGCUACCUAAGCAGUAAAGCACAUUAGCAGAAAGGCUACUUUAGUGACGUACAGAUUUUUGAAGGACUUGGGUAAUGAUAGUAAGUAUUUUUAGGAUUGAAGCAAAGUCAAAUUAAUAUUUUUUAGGUACCAAAGUGAUAACAUGUGGGUUUUGGCUUGAAUGUUUAUGGGCAAAAGUGAUUCAUUGUGGUACAUGGUGAUGAAAGUGAUGGCUAUGGCUUGGACCCGACCCGCUCUAGUCAAGUUCCAUUUUUUUUCAGUCAAGUCCGUUAGUAGAACCAGUGUAAAGCACUAUGUUCAAUUUAUUGGAACCCAUCAAAUAUAAAUUCUUGUGUGAUUGCCAUGCUCAGAGACCUUCAAACAACAUUACAGAAGAAACAAGAAAAACUAGCAAGCCUAGACAAAAGGAUUGAGGUUAAAAUUAAUGCAAGCAAUCAAAUACCUUCGUUCACAUCUCCGUUCGCCUUUGCUCGCACCUUCGUUCUCCUUCGCUCGCACCUCCGUUCGCCUCCGCUCACACCUCUGUUCGCCUUUGUUCGUACUUCCGUUCGCACCACGACCACCACCCACAACUUCCUCCUCCUCCUCCGACCACCGCCUGCAGCUUCCUCUGCACCUUUGUUCACACCACGUCCAUUUUUGGGUAUUUGGUGUCCUAAAAGCACCUACAACUUCCAAAUAACUCUGAAGCUUACAAAAAAUCAAAUUCCAAGUUUUAUCUAAUUGUCACAUUCUUUUUUUACUGAAGUCACCUCUUUAUAAAUAAUAUUAAAAAAUAUAGUAUUUAUGUAAAAUUAAGAAAUAAAUAUUAAAGGAGUAUUUAAAUAUCAAUGAUAAUAAAUAUAAAUAUUUUAAUUAAUUAAUAAUUUUCAUACUAAUACAUUUUAUAAUUUCUAACUAGCAGAUACUUACCUCUAUUAAUAAUUUUUAAUUGAAAAAAAUAGAAACAAGUAAUAAAACUGUUAUAAUAAAAAAAUUAAUAAUUAAAAAAUUAUUUACAAUUUAAUUCUGAAAAUUUAUUUAUUUUUAUAAAAUUAAAGUUGUUUUAAAAAGAUCAUUUUAUUUAAAUUUAAUUAUUUAGCAUAAUUUAUUUUUUUUAAAGGAUUAAUUUUAUUAACAAUAAUUAUUUUUUUUAUGUAAUUUUAUUUAAAAAAAUUAUUUGAGGUGAUAUUUUAAAAAAAUAUUUAAUAAAUUUUAUCUAAAUUUAAUAAAUUACAAAUAUAUUUGACACAUAUUUUUUAAAUAAAAAAAAUCAGUAAUACAAUUAAUUAUUUUUUAAAUGGAUGAGUACUCAUUAAUAUUCAAAGUGCUUGUAUAGUUUUUUAAAAUAAAAAUAAAUUAUUAUUAUCAUUAAUAGUAGUUGUAAAAUAAACAAGAUUUAGCGACUAAAAAAUUUCGAUGGCUAAAAAAUAAACGUGUUUAGUGGCUGAUUCAGUGAUAAAAAUAAAUAAUUAUAUCUAGUGACCGAAACAAAAUCGGUAGCUAAAACAUAAACAAAUUUGAUGGCUGGUUCGGUAGUAAAAAUAAACAUUUAUAUUCAGCGACCAAAAGAAAAUCGGUAGCUAAAAAGUAAAUAUAUUCAGUGCCUAAUUUGGUGGCAGAAAAAAAAUAAUAAAAUUUAGUGACCAAAAUAAAAUUGGUGGCUAAAAAAUAAACAUAUUCGGUCGCUAAUUCGGUUGCAAAUAUAUUUUUUCCAAUUUAUUCGAAACAAUCACCACUUUAACGACCAACGGUUUUGUCACUUUCAUGUUCGGUCACGGAUUCAUUCGCAAAACUAACUAACAUGAUUUUUCAUGUUCGGUCGCGAAUUCAUUCGCAAAACUAACUAACAUUAUUUUUUAUGUUCGGUCGCGAAUUCAUUCGCAAAACUAAACUAACUAGCAUGAUUAAUAAUUCAGUUAGUCGCCAUUUCGAAUUCGUUCGCAAAACUAACUAACAUGAUUAAUCAGUCGCUAUUUCGAUCACAAAUUUGUAAGUUAUUUCGAUCGCAAAUUCGACACUAUAUUGUUCGCUAAAUUCAGUAACUACAGUAUAAAAAAAACACUCUUCUCCAAAAAAUAAUUCAAAACAAAGAAGAUAGGACAAUGUCAAGAAUUCUCCAAAAAAUAAUUCAACACAAAGAAGAUAGGACAAUGUCAAGAAGAUAGGACAAUGUUGGACAAUAUCUUAAAUGAUAUGAUGAAGGGAGAAACACCCCUAAUUUUUUAGUAUCAGAUUUAGCGUUUUACUAUUGUUAUUAAGUUUUAUGCAAAAAAAAAUUUAAUCAAAAUAACAUAACUAAAUCUUUCAUAAAUAUUUUACCAUUUAAAAAAAAAAACAAUUUUUUGAAACUGAUGAAGUCAUACAUACUAAAUACAAUUUUAAUACAAUCUGAUAGUACAAAUAUAAUUCUGAAGUUGUAAUGAUUUCAAUACGAUAUAAUAUCACUAUCACUGAAGUUAUAAUGUCAAAAUACAAAUUCAAUUAUAGAAAUCUUUUUAAAAAAAUUGUUUUUAUAUUAUACGAAUUUAAUUAUUUCCUAAUUAAAAUCACAUUUUACAACUAUAAUUUCUUUAGAAAUUAUUAUCUACAUAAAACUCGUAUUUGACACAUACGAGGAUUUAUCCAAUUUUAAAACAAGAAACUAAUCUGUCCAUUUAGAAAAAUUUGGACUAAAAUUACACUAAUUUUUGGAGAAAGAAACCGACUAAGUAUUAUAAAUAAAACUGCCACAUAAAAACAUGACUUAUAGCAUUUUAGGACACCAAUUUAAAGUCUCCAACUGAACAUUAAGUUUCAAACUAUUACACUUUUAUUUAAGUUUAGAAAACAUUUGUUGUCUAAAGACUUUUGGGUUUAUAUUGCAACAUCACUCAUAAUUGGAUAAAAGUACAUUUAUUCUUGAGAAGCAGAAGCAGGUGCAGUGCAGAGAUGGAUGAUACUAAAUGCAUCAUCCAUGAACUUCAUUCUGGAACUAAACUGGAGGUGGGUAGAGUUCAAUAACCUUCUUCCAUGAUGGUCUACUGCUUAUGUCAUCCCACCAAC
rnacentral:lncRNA from 1 species